AGAGGUUGAUGAUGAUUGAAAGUGAUAAUGCCUACAUUGCUUGAUCUACAUGAUAUAAGAAGUCCAUAUAAUAAUACUGAAGCCUCU